AGUGAACGCUGGCGGCGUGCUUAACACAUGCAAGUCGAACGAGAACGGGUUAUAGCUUGCUAUAAUUGUCAGCUAAGUGGCGCACGGGUGAGUAAUGUAUAGGUAAUAUGCCUCUUACUAAGGGAUAACAAAUGGAAACGUUUGCUAAUACCUUAUACUCCUUAUUAACAUAAGUUAAUAAGGGAAAGAUCUAUUGUGUAAGAGAUUAGCCUGUAUUGUAUCAGUUAGUUGGUGGGGUAAUGGCUUACCAAGACUAUGACACAUAACUGGUUUGAGAGGAUGAUCAGUCAGCCUGGAACUGAGACACGGUACAGACUCCUACGGGAGGCAGCAGGGGGUAAUAUUGCACAAUGGACGAAAGUCUGAUGCAGCAACGCCGCGUGGAGGAUGACACAUUUCGGUGCGUAAACUCCUUUUAUAUGAGAAGAUAAUGACGGUAUUAUAUGAAUAAGCACCGGCUAACUCCGUGCCAGCAGCCGCCGCCG
rnacentral:rRNA from 1 species